rnacentral:rRNA from 1 species
CCUACGGGAUGCAGCAGUGGGGAAUCUUCCACAAUGGGGGAAACCCUGAUGCAGCGACGCCGCGUGAGUGAAGAAGUAAUUCGUUAUGUAAAGCUCUAUCAGCAGGGAAGAAAAUGACGGUACCUGAGUAAGAAGCCCCGGCUAACUACGUGCCAGCAGCCGCGGUAUUACGAAGGGGGCAAGCGUUCUCCGGAUUUACUGGGUGGAAAGGGAUCGUAGACUGUAUGGCAAGUCUGGAGUGAAAGGCGGGGGCUCAACCUCCGGACGGCUCUGGAAACUGUACGGCUGGAGUGCAGGAGAGGUAAGUGGAAUUCCUAGUGUAGCGGUGAAAUGCGUAGAUAUUAGGAGGAACACCAGUGGCGAAGGCGGCUUACUGGACUGUAACUGACGUUGAGGCUCGAAAGCGUGGGGAGCAAACAGGAUUAGAUACCCGAGUAGUC